AAGGAAAGAAAAUCAUUAUUUUGGCAUUAAAUAUAACAACGGCAACAUAGCCUUUGGGACAGCUCGCGUCCUCUGACAAGACGGCAGCACAUAAUAGUAAAGAGAGAGCUUAUUUAAGAAACAUAGCAAAGAAAGAGUCCGAAAAUAACCUAUUUUUGGGACAUUUUUUCACGACUAGUUUCUUGUCUCUACUUGUCUUUGUACUUACCACAGACUACAUACUAUUGUUUGUGCUAUUGUUGUGAAGGUAUUCAGAUCAGAGACAAGUACUUAUCUCUGUCAGAGGUUCAGAUACUCGUUUUUAUCUAUGAGAACAGACUCUCAACGUGCUCUGAAGUGUGUAUCAAUUUAUUAGUGAAUCAUGUCAGAUUUGAUAAAUCCUGUUUUGUUCCACCAGAAGGACCAGGUUGUGAUUGAAGUUACCAAAAGCCCGUUCACAAUUGGACGAGCGCCAUACUGUGAUUAUCAGCUGCUAAGCGUGACUGUAUCCAGAACACACUGUAAAUUAGAAAAAACAAAUACCGGAUGGGUGUUAACAGAUCUGGGUUCAAAUGGUACAUUGGUCAAUGGUAUUUUAUAUCGAAGAGGUACUAGUGGUGUUUUAAAACAUCUUGACACUAUUCUUCUGGGAUUGGAAGUAUGGUCAUUACAAUUCAUGUUGAAGCAAACACCGCUUAUAAGCACGCUACUCCCACUUAAUCUAACUACCAUAAAUCUUCAUCAGUCUUCGACCUCAAAUAGUUUGAGCUCGGAUUCAAAUUCGAAUACGAGAAAAAGCGAGAUUGUUACAGAUCAACGUCCUGCUACAGCUGACGUGCAAUCCGCUAGUAGCUCCGAUAAAAAUCUUGGUUCGAAUAUUGCCUCAAAUAUAAGUCUCAAGCGACGUCGUACGUCAGAAAGUAAUCUAGUGAAUAAAUCCCGACCGAGAUCGAGACCAGUUCUUCAACCUAAAAUGCCUUCUUCUGAAGGAGUUGAUUAUAUUGUGGAUUUAACAAAUGAUUUGUCUCAAGAUGAGUGCAUUUUAAUAGCAGAGAGCAGUGACAAAUCGGCUGGGAAUGGAUCUGCAGAUCUCGCUACACUUUCAACGACUUCUGAAACUGCACAGAAUCCUGCCCAAGGAAAAGAACAUUCACAGUUCGAAAGUAUGAAGACUGAACUGAUGUGCACUAUAUGUUCGGAAUUAUUCAUUAAACCCGUCACACUUGCAUGUUCUCACAGUUUUUGCUCGUUUUGCAUUAAACGCUGGCGGGCAAAAUCAUCUACUUGUCCAAUAUGUCGAACUUUUAUCAAAUCUGUAACGCGCACAUUGGUGUUGGAUAAUCUGGUAGACAAGAUUAUGGAAAAUGAUUCUCCAGAAGAUCGAAAGCAGAGGCAAGAAGCUAUUGAUGCAAUACAGAAAGCGGAAAAGAAACCAGUAGCCCGUCGUCGUGGAGUCAGCCGACGAAGCUCUGAUAGGAAUAUCGGACGACCGAGAAGAGGUAACUCUCGUACUGAACCACCACCACCACCACCAGUGAGUUAUGAGCCGUCAGUUUUGAGAUAAAACAAUGGUGCAAUGGAUGCGUCCUGCACUAGAGAUCUGUGUCACACAUAUUUUAUGGUAAUAACGAUAAUGAUUGCCAAACUACGACAAAUUGGCCUAUGAUGGGCCAAUGAACUAGAGUCAUCAGCAACUGCUUUGUGAACUGUUGUAAUGAUUCGAGCCAGAGGCUCGAAAUAAUUAUGCAACCGUUGUAAUUGUUUGGGACAUUUAACGGGUAGAUGCCCUAGCCUUCCAAUAGAACCAGAAAGAUCUAUAUUUCGCAUUUCCUGGAAUCACAACGACAGUGCCCUGAGGCCUCAAUAAAUGUAUUAAAUUUC